rnacentral:rRNA from 1 species
CUCAAUGAAAUUUAAAUAGCCGCAAUUAUAUGUGCUAAGGUAGCAUAAUCAUUUGUCUUUUAAUUAAAGACUAGUACGAAAGAUUAAAUACUUUUAUUUCUUUCUUAUAUAUAAAAUCAUAAUUUAUUUUAAAUAUUAAAAAAUAUUUAUAUUUUAAAAAGACGACAAGACCCUGUUGAACUUAACUAUAGUUUAACUGGGGUAGUUAAUUAAACAUAAUUUUAAUUUCAUCAUUAAACAUCAUCUAAUAAAAUUAAAUAAAUCAAGUUACCAUAGGGAUAACAGCGUAAUAAUUAUUUCAAGAUCUUAUUUUAAAAAUUGAUUGCGACCUCGAUGUUGAAUUAAUAGUCUAUUAAAUGCAAUAAUUAAUAAGAAAGUC